rnacentral:rRNA from 1 species
GUAGGUGGCAAGCGUUGUCCGGAAUUAUUGGGCGUAAAGCGCGCGCAGGUGGGUUCUUUAAGUCUGAUGUGAAAGCCCCCGGGCUCAACCGGGGAGGGUCAUUGGAAACUGGGGAACUUGAGUGCAGGAGAGGAAAGUGGAAUUCCACGUGUAGCGGUGAAAUGCGUAGAUAUGUGGAGGAACACCAGUGGCGAAGGCGACUUUCUGGCCUGUAACUGACACUGAGGCGCGAAAGCGUGGGGAGCAAACAGGAUUAGAUACCCUGGUAGUCCACGCCGUAAACGAUGAGUGCUAAGUGUUGGGGGGUUUCCGCCCCUCAGUGCUGCAGCUAACGCAUUAAGCACUCCGCCUGGGGAGUACGGUCGCAAGACUG